GGGAGCUUGGCCGAGUGGUCUAUGGCGUCAGAUUUAGGUUAGGAUUCUUUCAAAGAAUUUCGAAUCUCUGAUAUCUUCGGAUGCGCGAGUUCGAAUCUCGUGGCUCUCA